GCAAACUUGGUCAUUUAGAGGAAGUAAAAGUCGUAACAAGGUUUCCGUAGGUGAACCUGCGGAAGGAUCAUUAACAAAUUUUCAUUCAUAUUCACCUUGUGUGCAGUUUUGCAUGAAAAAUUGAUAAUAUCUUUUGGAAAGAUUAUUUUUAUAAUAAUCUUUUCAAAGAGGUUAUUAUAAUCUAUUUAUUUAUUUACUAUGUCUAAAAUUAUAUAUUUAAAUUAAAAAACAACUUUCAACAACGGAUCUCUUGGCUCUCGCAUCGAUGAAGAACGCAGC
rnacentral:misc_RNA from 1 species